rnacentral:misc_RNA from 1 species
AAGUCGUAACAAGGUUUCCGUAGGUGAACCUGCGGAAGGAUCAUUAUUGAAUUAUAAGCGAAAGGUUGUUGCUGGUCCCUCGGGGCAUGUGCACACCCUAGCCCUUAAUCCACUUACACCUGUGAACUCUAGUGUGGGACGUCUCUUUGGGACGGUCCACAUGUCUCAUACACACCGCAUGUCUCAGAAUGUAUCAUGUUGCUUUAAUGCAAAUUAAAUAUAACUUUCAACAACGGAUCUCUUGGCUCUC